UAUUUAUUUAUUUAUUUAUUUAAGUAGGCUCUAUGCCCAACAUGGGGCUUGAACUCAUCACCCUGAGAUCAAGUCUUGUGCUCUACCAACUGAGCCAGGCAGGGGUGCCUUACCCCUAAAGAAAUUUUCGAACGGGCAGAGAAACACAAGGAAAAACCUAAGGAGAUUGGGAACCCCUAUUUGCUGCUUGAGAAGUCCCAUGACUACGGGGUUGUGACACUAUAUGUCUGUUGUGUCUAAAUGCAGCUGGAUCCUCAGAGCUGUUGGGCUGUCUCAGUGUCUUUCCUGAAGCAGUUCGUGCUCCCUACCUACUAGCCGGUCUAGUUCCACCGUUCUCUCAAAGCAGGAUGGCUGUAUUUUCCUGCUUCGUAGUGAAAAACAAAACAAAAAAAAAAACAAAACAAAAAAAAUGCUAGGCUUUCUCUACCUACAGCAUCAUCUGCUUCCAGCCUUAACCUGUUUUGUCCCUGUCGCAAUGGGAAAGACCUCUCUCCUUCUGUGUAGUUUGUCACCAGUGCUAUAUCUAUCUGCCUCUCCUAUCCUGAAUUUUCUGCCUCUGUCACCUCUCCUCUAACAGCUGCAGGUGAUAAAUUGUGUGCUUUAGUUCUCUCUGAAGCUGACGUCCAGAGCCACCACCUUUUUCCUUUCACAACAGUUAAGCUCUAGGGUUGUCUACCCUUCCUGUCUCUACUACCUUCCUCACACCUAAAUUGUUGGCCACCCGCAGAUUUUCUUGUCAAGACCACUCCAACUCAGUAACUCAGGCUUUAUCUGCCUUCAUCUUUUCUUUUUUUAAAAUAUUGAUUGAUUGAUUUUAGAGAGGGAGGGAGACUCUGAAGCUCCCUCUCUAAGACUCUAAGACUCUCUAAGACUCCCCACUAAGUUUGGAGCCCUGUGUGGGGCUCAGCAUCAUGACCUGAGCUGAAAUCAAGAGUUGGACGUGUAACCGACUACACCCAGGCCCCCCAUCUGCUUUCAUUUUUAUGUUAGUGUUGGCCCUGUUGAACCUGCUUAUUUUAAGCAUUCUUUUCGUUUUCAUGGCUCCAAUCUCUGGAUUGGAGUUCUUGUGUUCUUGUGUUCCCCUGUCUCUUCUAAAAUUUCUUCAGGGGCAUCUCUUCCUUCAGAGUCUUAGUUGUAGGCAUUUGCUAGGAUUCCGUCAUGACCUUUUUUUUUUUUCUUUUAAAUUAAUUGUUUGAGAGAGAGCCAGAGAGAGCAAGAA